CCCCCGCACCGCCUGGACCAGGAGUUGUGUUUCUGGGGCUGCCGGGGCCCGGCCUUGCCAGCGCCCGCCUCCCGCCGCAGCCUGGGCGACUACUGGCUGAGCCCGCAGCGCCGCCGCCCGCCGGGCGCCGCCUGGCGCUGGCCGACGCGCAACCUGCUGCUGCUGCCGGGGACCACCAGCCUGGCCGACGUACCCUCUGCGCGCUGGCCCAGCUGCUACAGCGCGCGCCCGCGCCUCACAUGGAAGCACCGAUGGCAGAAUAUUAACUACCAAUUCCUGGGCAAGAGGAAGAGACAUCUAGUUCCCCUGCGCCCGUGAGAGCCGGGAUCUGGGGCGACAGGCUUCAGGCUCAUCGCGUGACGGUCCCGAGGCUGACUCGCGCCAAGCCAGGGUGAGCAGGAAGACGUCCUAGGAGCACUGCAAAAUCCGGUGUCCCUCUCUGUGGGCGAACAUGCUCUACCUUUGCCCCCUCCCCUGGGAUCUCCACGUUUCUGCCCUUCACUGCCCAAAUAAAGCAGUUUUUGCCUCUCUC
rnacentral:lncRNA from 1 species